AGAAUAUCUACAAAUUAACAAAUUAAUGGAAAAACCUGAGUAAAUGAGCGUAGAAACAUAAUGAAUGCAAAUGCUUCCAUACAGGUGUACUGCAUGGUACAAUUAAACAAUUAACAUCCCAUCAUACUCUGUGGCAUGUAUAAAAAUGCUGAGCAAGCCCAGCUGACCUCAAUUUUAGAUCAAGAUGGCAGGAGGAAAAGAUCAAAGUGACUUUGAAAGAGGGUUCAUCAUUGGAGCAUGAAUGGCUGAAACUUCAGUCACAAAGACUGCUCAACUGGCUAGCGUUUCGAUAAGAACAGUUACUAAAGUGAGAUCUGCAUUUAGAUCUAUGGGAAAGACAUCAGUAAAUAGGGUUGGGAAUUGUUGCCCAAAGUGUAUAUUCAAUGACCGUGAUACUCGUGCAUUAGUGCGACAUGUAAGGAAAAACAGAAGAGCAACUCUACUACAUAGAGAGGGAUAUUAUAGAUAGGUUGCAGUGCAUAAACCCCUCAUUACAAAGACAAAUGCAUAUUUCAGAGUUCAGUGGUACAUAAACCAUAGGCACUGGUCUCUAGAGAUCUGGGAAAAAAUUGAUAUAGUCAGAUGAGUCAUCCUUCACCAUAUUCUUGACUAGUGGGCGAGUGCACAUGUGGCGUACACCAAGAGAACAGUACUGACCUGUGUUAUAUGACCCCUGUCGUAAGAUUUGUUUACAUUUGUCUCUGUUGCUUGUGUUUCAUCUUUCUGGUUUGUCAUCAGAUUGGCCGUUUCCGUCGCUGGUUACCCAUAUUGAAAAAGUCGCCGUUUUCCACUUACCAGGGAGGCUAGAUCUUUGAACUCAUGAUUGGUGUGUUGCUUCGUUUGACUUUGCGCAUUUUGAUUCCUGUCUAGCCCUUCUGAUUUGUUUGCUGAUUAGAUUCAUGUAUAACCACUGACUUGUUCCCUUCGACUCCAAUUCUUUCCUUAGCUUGUUUGACCUGUGAUUUUGUGGGUCUGACCGUUUGCUCUCGUAUUUGAUUCCAAUUCUCGCCUAGUUCCUUUGCUUUGUUUGCUGAUUGGAUUUCAAGUUUGAUCAUUGUUUCGCUUGAUUUCAACCUUGACUUUCGGUUGCCCUCUGCUUACCAUACAGUGCUCCGGUUAGUUAGUGUGUUCCCAGUUGGACUGCAAAUCCUUCCAUCCAAACAACUUUGUUAUUUUGCUUUGUUAUUUUCCUUUAGAAUUUUUGAAAGUACUCUGGGUUGAGCUUUAACUCUCCAUUGGGGAUACACUAUUCAGACUUUUUGUUUCAGACUGUUGACUAUCUGUCUGAAGCUCAGCGCUGAAAGCCGCCCUGCGAUCAGUACCCUUCGAAGACUAGCCAGUUGUCAGUUAUAUUUGGAUUGGCAGAUAAGGACCAGAGUUACUGUGAGGAGAUCCAGUGGCAGUCAUGCUGUGGGGAGCAUUUUGCAGGUAUUGUUUGGGUCCACUCAUCCCCUUAGAGGGAAGGGUCACUGCAAAUAAAUACAAAGUUAUUCUGAGUGAUCACCUUUAUCCUAUGAUGAAGCAUUUCUAUCCUGAUGGGAGUGGUCUCUUCCAGGAUGCCCUCAUCCACAGGGCACGAGGGGAGAUCAGUGCCAGUUCCAGAAAUGUCCAGUAUGAGGGGAUGCCCCACAGCCAUAAGCCUCAUAGUCCUGCUUCUAACGUGUAGCCUGCUGUUUGCUAUGCUUGCUGUGAAGGCUCAAAAUAUAAACAAAGCAAACAAAAUACAACUUGAUUGCUUUGUCCUUUGAUAAUGUUAAUAUUAAUGUUAAUAAUAUUGAUGUAUAAAACAAAGUUAUCAUGAGAAUAGAAGUGUUUUAAAGCACUGUAAACAUAUCUAAAGCGUUCAUUCUGGCCAUUGAAAUUCUCCUCUGUGUAGUCCAAUUUAAAUUUUUAAAAUAUUUGCUGGCACAUAACAGGUUUUGCCAUUAAAUAUACUUAUUUUCAGCAUGUGAGUUUUGAAUACAAAUUUUAAAUGGAUAAAAAAAGUGAAUGUAUUUGCUGUUCAGCAAAAUGGGAAAUUUGUCCGAGGGUCUGAAUGCUUUUGCAACUAAGUGUAUGUAACUGACAGUAUGUA